rnacentral:rRNA from 1 species
GACGAACGCUGGCGGCGUGCUUAACACAUGCAAGUCGAACGGAAAGGCCCUGCUUUUGUGGUGUGCUCGAGUGGCGAACGGGUGAGUAACACGUGAGUAACCUGCCCUUGACUUUGGGAUAACUUCAGGAAACUGGGGCUAAUACCGGAUAGGAGCUCCUGCUGCAUGGUGGGGGUUGGAAAGUUUCGGCGGGUGGGGAUGGACUCGCGGCUUAUCAGCUUGUUGGUGGGGUAGUGGCUUACCAAGGCUUUGACGGGUAGCCGGCCUGAGAGGGUGACCGGCCACAUUGGGACUGGGAUACGCCCCAGACUCCUACGGGAGGCAGCAGUGGGGAAUAUUGCACAAUGGGCGGAAGCCGGAUGCAGCAACGCCGCGUGCGGGAUGACGGCCUUCGGGUUGUAAACCGCUUUCGCCUGUGACGAAGCGUGAGUGACGGUAAUGGGUAAAGAAGCACCGGCUAACUACGUG